rnacentral:rRNA from 1 species
UACAGGGGGAGCAAGCGUUGUUCGGAUUUACUGGGCGUAAAGGGCGCGUAGGCGGUCAGCACAAGUCAGUUGUGAAAUCUCCGGGCUUAACUCGGAAAGGUCAACUGAUACUGUGCGACUAGAGUGCAGAAGGGGCAACUGGAAUUCUCGGUGUAGCGGUGAAAUGCGUAGAUAUCGAGAGGAACACCUGCGGCGAAGGCGGGUUGCUGGGCUGACACUGACGCUGAUGCGCGAAAGCCAGGGGAGCGAACAGG